rnacentral:tRNA from 1 species
ACUAAGGUGGCAGAAUAGUGCAUUAGGUUUAAGCCCUACACAUAAAGAUUAAUCUUUUCUUAGUA